rnacentral:lncRNA from 1 species
AGCAUGACGGAAGCUCUGGUAAACAUUUAAGUCUCUUGCAACCUUUUAAUGAAAGCCACUUCAACUCAGUUAGAUGUUUAAUGCUUGCAGGUGUCGUCUUGAAAUUGUUUCCACCUAAAAGUAAGCCUUCCAAUGACACUAAAAACCAAAGACUCUGGGGAAUUUCUAAUAUACCACAGUCACUUAAAUCAAUUUUCCUUACACAGGACAGACCUGUCAAAGGAGGCAAUAUAAAACCUUCACAUCUCGAACAUGUUAACUUUUCCAAUCUUCUCAAUUGAUUGAUGGAGGAUGGUAAUGUUUUUAUUCCACUUCUAGAUAUAGAGAGGUUCUUCAGCAAUUCUAGAUCCCCCAUGUUCUCUGGCAAUGCUUUGACAUUCAAACAGCCUGAGAUAUAAAGGUGUGUAAGAGAUUUCAAAUUGCAGAUGCUUUGUGGAAUACUAUGCAGUUUUGAGCAGUAUCUGAGAUCAAUUUCUUUUAGACAUUUAGACUCGCCAAUGCUGCUAGGAAUCUCAAUCAAGUUUCUACAUGCUAUCAAAUAUAAAACCUCAAGAUUUGGGGCACUAGACAAGUCUGGAACUUUAGUUAACUCAAAAGAGUAGCUGAGGUCUAAAAAUUUCAAACUUUCAAGAGCCUGUAAUCAAAACGUCAAUAAAAUUAGCAGAAGCUAAUUAACUCUGCACAAUGUAGCUAAAUUUUAUAAAGCAGCAUAAUAACUCUAACCUUCUCUUGAUUCCAGAGUUGGAUGAGGUUGCUCCGUGGCAUGUGAAGUUCUACAAGAUUUCUCGGGCAAAAAUUUAUUGGCAAGGAUUUCAAAGGGUACCCUUCCCAAUGAUGAUAUCUUAGCUCCUUUGGUAGAAAUUCAAGGCCACUAGGUAGAAGCACUCGUCUUGGUCUGGAUGUAGAAACAUUGAAGAAUUUGAGAAAUCUAAGAUUGCACAUGUUCAUGAAAGCUGUGGGACUUAGCUCCAAAUAUCCAUUUCCAGACAUAUCAAGUAAUAUGCCUUCAAUAUUUUCAGUUCCCUAAGAAAAUAACAACAAACAUUAUAGGCACUGCACUUAAUUCUUAAAACUGCAUAUAAAUAAUAUCUAUGUAUAAUUAAGAAUAUGCACAUUAAUUCUUUUGGUCCAUACCUUGUCUCUUGUCAAUACAUGACAAAUAUCCUUAUAUUUCCACAACCUGCUGCGUGUCCCAAGUUGUUUGGACUCCUCACAAACAACAUCCUUGCCCAUUUGUUGUAGCAAGUCAUGCAUGCCUACCUUACCAUUUGAAACAGUUAUGAGAGAUUUAUCAAUUAAACGGCUUAUCGCUCUUCUUGGAAAGAAACCACAACCUUCAAAUAUUCUUUCGACACGAUCUUUAGGCUCGCCUUUAAGGAAACAUGCAAUAUCAAGAAAUAUGAUCUUUUCAUGACGUUCUAGUCCAUCAUAACUUAUUCUCAAAACUGCCUGAAUAUUCAUAUCAGGAAUUUCUUUCAAUUUUUCCAACUCACUUUCCCAUUCUUCAAUCCCCUUAUUAUACAAAUUAGAGCCUAAAAUUACAAGAGCCAAUGGAAUACCUUGAGCAUAUGUUAUCAACUUCUUUGAUAUUUCCACAUAUCCUUUCUUGGGAUGAUUUUGUUUGAAGGUAUACAAGCUAAAGAGACAAAGAGCUUCAUCAUCAGUUAAUUUUUCAACCUUGUAUUUGUAUCCCUCCGAACAAACAUUUUUAAGUACUUGUCUAUCUCUGCUUGUUACAAUGAUUCUACUACCAUUGUGGUACAAAGCACACUCUCCUGCUAAAAGCUUUAGAUGGUUUGGAUCAUCCACGUCAUCAAAAACAAUGACAACCUUUUUACUCUGAAGUCUUCUCCUAAUGAAAGGGGGUAGCCGAGGUGUGCUUACAUUUAAAUUCUUUUCUCCUAACAAUUGGUUAAUGAUUUUAUCUAAUAAAACAACAGGUGUUUGUUUUCUCACCUCCUCUCUGACAUUAACAACAAAACAGUGUCCAUCAAAUUUAUCCAUAAUUCGAUUAAAUACUUCACCAGCAAUAGUUGUCUUGCCAAUACCUCCCAUCCCCCAAAUUCCUAUUACUCUUCUAUCAUUUAUUGAUUCAAUACAUAACAAGGAUUCCACUUUCUUCAGACGUGAUUCAAUCCCAACUAAGUUGUCAUUGUAAGAAUCACUUGAGGAGAUGAGACUUAAUUUCUCCCAAACAUCAUUGGCAAUUUCCUCAACUAGUUUGGAUUCAGACCUAAUACAUAUGAAGAACAAAUGCUAGUAAGUCAAAGCAAACCACCCUUAGAGGCUUAGACUCGCUUCUAAGUAAAUUGAUAAUAUACGAUUACAUAUACAUGCAAACAAAAACAAGAAUAGUAAAAAAAUCAACAGAAUUACUUGAUUUUCCGUGAAUCCCAUCCUGAUAAAUUGCUUAUUGCCGUCAGAGCACGACGCCACUUAUCCACCUUGUCUAAACAACCUUUGACUUCUUCUCCAUGCUUAGCAACCGCAAAUGCCUCGCCGAAAUCCCCAAUGAGAUCUUGAACAUCAGUUGGAUCUACAUUGUAAAAAAUUGGUAGGACUAAUCCUUCUAAAUUUCCCUUGCAUUCAAGUAUCUUCACAAGCUCAUCCAAGCACCAUGGAGAAUCUGCAUAAUUUUGAGAGAAAACAACAAUUGAGACAUAAGAAUCUUUAAUUGUUUCCAAGAGAGCAGGUGAGAUCUCUUCUCCUUUACGAAGGUCUUCAUCCAUGAAAAGAUUGAUUUGUUUUCGCUGCAAAGCAUCAAAGAGAUGGGAGAGAAAACCCACACGAAUAUCUUUGCCUCUAAAGCUAAUAAAAACAUCAUAUUUGCAAGGAGGGGUUGAAGAAGUAGCAUCCAUAGAUGAGUGAUGAAAGAAUGCUUGUGUAACUCCAACUGAGCUUGAAGAAGUUAAAGAGAGCAAGUGCCGUGCUAGACAAGCCAACAGGACUCUUCCUGGAAAAUGAUAUCUAAAUUGAAGUCGUCACCUAAUCGUCCGUAGAAACUUCAAGGAAAGAAACCCAAAACUUGCUAUCUAGGCAUGUUGCUAUCUGACACUCUUCUUCUCCUUUUCGCCUCAACUUUGCCUUGUCCACAAUCAGCCGGCUUCAGUUUCUCUACCACAAAUUUACAUUUUUUUACAUACAUUGAGUCUAUGAUUUCCAAUAAUAUCAGCCAUGUUAGUUUGACUAGCAAGAAGUGCUGUUGAAGAAUAAUAAUUUUUUUAUUUUAAUUUAUCUUUUAAUCUUUCUAUAUCAUUAAAUAAUAAAUUAUUAUGAAAAAUUAUAUAAUCAUUUUGGAAAUUUGUGAGAUAAUUUAUGAUAAUAUUUAUUUUAAUAUUUUUAAAAAUUAUUAUAUGUAAUUUUUGUGUACAAAAAGAUUUUAUAUGUUCGUGAAAAAUAAGAGAGAUAAUUUGAAUUUUUUUCGUAUGUGAUUUUCUAAUGGACUUGUGAAGUGAAUUUUUUUUUGUGUGAGAGAAUUUUUGAUUUUUGAGUCUUAAAAAUAGAGCAGUUUAAUAAUAAUUUGAUGAGAAUGGGUCCUCCAUUUUUUAAUGGAGAAAAUUAUCAUAUUUGAAUAAUUAAAAUGAAAUCUUAUUUAGAGUUUGUGGGAUGUUGUUAAAACCGAGCAGAUUCACUUAAUCUUAGUCCUGAUCCAACUCUAAAACAAAUCAAGAAUGAUGAAGAAUUAAUAAAGAAAAAGCUGAGAGUUUUAAUUUGUUUGCAUCUUAGUUUGAUGGAUAUGAUUUUUAUUAGAAUUAUGAAUUGUGAAAUUCUAAAGGAAGUAUGGAAUAAGUCCAAAGAGAAGUUUGAAGGGAGCGAUAGAGCAAAGACCGUUGACUUCUCACACUAAAAAGGCAACAUGAGAGAGAAAAAAGUAAGAAAAAAUAACUUAACGGAACAAUAUUGUUUCAUUCUAUUAUGUCGUUUGUUAUUGUUAACACUGUGCCAUUUUUCCUUGAGUAUAAUAUUUCACAAGCCUUCUGCAGAAGCCAAGUGAAGAGGCAAGCAGCAAAGAGAGUCUAACUCCUCGGCUAGUUUGGGCUUCCGCUUGAGGAGUGCUUGUGCAAAUUGAAGGUGACCUCGCAUGGCUGCAAUGUGCAAGGGAGUUUCAUGACAGGAAGUAAUGGUGACCCUAUCAAGAAUGAGUUGAUCUUGUUGAAGCAAUGCAUCUAAUUCAGCUACAUCCCCUUUCAGUGAUGAUUGAUAAAUGAUAAGCUGAUCAUGCUCGAUUGAGGGGUUGAGGUUCUCUAUAGACAUCCUAUGCAAAAGGGGGUGGUAAUAGGGUUCUGGUUAGAGGAUGCUUGCUUUUUAAGGAGAAUAAAGACGACAGUAAUAUAUAUAAAUGAUUUUACAAUAAAGCUGAUGACCAAUUUACGUGGUUAGAAUUGAUUUUGGCCAAUAUUUGGCACCUGUUAUUACCAGAAAUGCCUGGUAAUAUCUUGAAGUUUCAAGACAUCUCAUGACAUGUUAGAACUUUGAAGACAUCCUUAACAUCCUUAUUUCAUUAUCAUUAGUCAUUAUUAAUUCUUCAUCUAUAGCUGAAAGGAAGUAAAACGUGUUUAGGGGUGACAUCAAAGUGAAAUUACAAUAAAGGUCGUCACUAAGAAACACCUUUAUAACAAAAUAUAUAGAGAAUUACUUUUAAUUUUGUAAAAAAGUAAUUAAUUCAUUUUUAUUUUAAAAUCACUCGAUUAAAUAUUUUUAUUUCAACGAGAUAAUUUAUUUUUAAUUAUUCAGUUUUAAUUUAAAAAAUAAAAUUUAUUAAUAAAUUUAUAUGUAAAAUUUUAAUUUCAUUAUUUUUUAAAUUAUAAUUAAAGAAUGCAAAAUUAUAAUUAACUAAAAUUCUUUCUAUCAUAUUGUCGUAUGAUAUUUUACACACAAAUUAACUUAUUUAUUUAUAUUGUUUUUACUAUAUAUUUAUUCUAUUUUUAUUUUUUAACUGUCAUUAUUUUUAUUAUUAUUUUAAUUUUUAUAUUUAAAUAAUAUUUUUUUCGUUAAUAAUUUUUACCAAAAUUUAUGAUUAUAUUAUUUAUUUUUACUAAAGAUAUAAAUAAUUCUUCUUAUUUACUGCAGUAAGCACACGUAUAUUUGUUUCAUAAAUAAUUUGCAUAAAUAUAUUAAAAAUAUAAUAUGAGAAAUAUAAACAGGAAAAGUUUUAUAAAUUCUAGGGAGAUUUACAAUUUAGUUCAUGUGUAUUGUCAUUAUUAACAAGUCAGUUUCUGCAUUUUCAGAAACUUAUUAAAACGUCCUUACAUAAUCAAACCAUUAACAAAUCAGUCCUUCCAUCCACUGUUAUCCUUUUUUCCGUUAAAAAUAAAAUGAAAAGACCAAAAUAACCUUAGUGUAACUUUUCCCUAAAUCGAUAAUCUCUCUCCUCUAAUCCCUAACCUCUCUCUUCUCCCAAAAAUGAAAACCUCUCUUCUCAAAUCCCUAAUUUCUCUCUUCUUCCCUAAUCGAUAACCUCUCUCUUCCUAAAUCCCUAACUUUCUGUCUUCUCCCAAGUCGAUAACUUCUCUUCUCAAAUCUCUAACUUCUCUCUUCUUCCCUAAAUCCUCUAUUCUCCAUUUUGUUGGUUUUUGUCGAAGAGAAAUUAGUUUCUGUCGAAGUGAAGUUGUGGUCCCGAUUUUGUUGGUUUCUGUCGAACAAGUGGGGAAAGAUAACUUUUUGUGCUUUCUUUUGUUUGUUUUCUAUGGAUGUGUGACCAUAAAGUUUGUAUUAUAGUAAAGCAUGUGGGUACCACUUACUGUUACUGAUAGUUUUAGUGUAUUUUUUUUUUGGAGAUUUUAUAUAAUUAAAGAAUGUAUGAUUUAUAUGUGCAGGUCUGAAGACAUGACUGUGGAAGAGAGAUUUACUGUGGUGUUGAUAUAUGAAAAUAAAACUGAUUCCAUAUAUAAUGUCCCCAUUGGAAGGUAUUUGUACAUAUCCUUGUUGUCUGAUGUUUAUAAGAUGUUUAACAUAGCUGCAUCAUUUGUUACGUUUGUUGUUGGUAAUGGGAUGAGUGUAGAAAAUGAUGAUGAUUUAAUGUUGGCUUUUGAGUUGUACAAACCUAGUCAUAGAUUGCCUUUGACUGUACAAGUAAAAGGGGUCCCUCUUAACACUAAGAUGCCUGAUGAUGACGAUGAUGAUGAUGAUGUUAGUAUUAUUGGUGAGGGCAGUAAUACUGGUGAGGGCAUUAACCUUAGUGAGGGUGGUAAUAUUAAUUGUUGAGGAUAUUAACCUUGAUGAUGCCUUAGGUAGAAACACUCCCCCAUUAAGUAGGGAUGGGUCCACAAGAGGUAGGGGUAGGAGUGUGCCAUUAAGAGGAAAGGGAGGAAGAAGCAGUUUUACUAGAGGUAGAGGAAUAAGACAGGAAAGGGUUAGUGAAAGUGGGCAGUUAGGGGAAGAGGCCAAUGAAUCACCACAAAGUGAUUCUGAAAGUGAUGUAUCAUUCAAUGACAGUGAGGUUGGAGAUGAUUUACCUGAAGAAGUUGUAUUUGACAAUGAAAUUAGUAUUGAAGAGUCAAAUGGGUUAUCAGAUUAUGCUAGUGACAAUGACAAAGAGAUUGAAGAUAGUGAGAAUGAGUCUUAUGAUCCAAAUAAGAGGAAGAAAAAAUAUAUUGAUCCUUAUCAUGGCAUGUAUAAUGAUCCCUUCCAACACAAUGAAGGAGAAGGGAUUUUGUUUAAAGAGGGCCAAGUUUUUAAUGACAUUGCAACUUUGAGGAAUGCGAUGAGAGAUUAUGCUAUUAAGGGGGGAUAUGAUAUUACAAGAGUUAAAAAUGACUCUACUAGAUUAACAGCUAAGAGUUCCAGUACAGGAUGUCCCUAGAGGUUUCAUGCAUCAGUUCUGUCUGACCAAGUCACUUUCAUGGUUAAGACUCUGCAUGAUGAGCACACAUGCAUAAGACCAUUAAGAAAUGAAAAUUUGAAUUCAAACACUAAGUGGAUAGUAGAAAAACUAAGGGGAAAACUGAGGGUAGACCCUGACAUGAGUUAUGAACUCAUGCAGUAUGAGUUUAUGGAAAAAUGGAGUGUGGAAGUUCCUGUGUGGCAAUUAUAUAGAGCCAGGUGCAAGGCUAGAGAUGAGAAUAUAGGCAUGCAUUGUGAAAGUUUCAAAAAACUUAAGAAAUAUGUCCAUUAUUUGCAAACAUAUAACCCAGGUAUAGUUGUAAAAAUUCAGCCACCUCCAAGGGUUAAUGAAGAUGAUCCUUUUGUUUUUCAAAGAAUAUGGAUUAUGUUUGAUGUUAUAAAGUUUGGAUUUGAGAAUGGUUGCAGACCCUUUAUAGGAUUAGAUGGUUGUCACUUGAAGGGUCCAUAUGGAGGGAUUUUCCUAGUUGCAGUCAUACUGGAUGGAAAUAGAGGUGUGCUACCUCUUGCAUUUUCUAUAGUUGAAGCAGAAUGUAGUGAUAGCUGGACUUUUUUCCUAGAGAAUCUUUAUUCUUGCAUUGGUGGAGGAACUGAUGAUAGGCCUUUAACUAUUAUGUCAGAUAAGCAAAAGGUAUGAAUUAAUAUUCACUUUUUUUUUAAUUUAGCAUAUUGAAUUAUAUGCUAUUAAUUUAAGUUACUAACUAUUUUUUUGGUUGUAGGGACUCGUUGAUGCUGUCAAAAAUAUAUUUCCCAAUGCAUCUCAUAGAGUUUGUUGCAGGCAUUUAUACAUGAAUUUCAAGAAAGAGUUCCCUGGACUCAUGCUCAGAGAUGAUUUUUGGAAUGCUGCAAAGAGUACUCAUUCUUAUGAGUUUUGGCUUCACAUGAAGAAUUUGAAUCCCAAGCGAGAUCAAAAGCCAUAUCACUGGUUGAUCAACAUACCCUUCAGUCAAUGGAAUAGACAUGCAUUCUGGCCUGAAGCUAAGUGUGACAAUUACACUAACAACAUGACCGAAUCAUUCAAUGCAUGGAUAGUGAAAUUGAGAGGUUUGCCUAUUAUCAAUAUUAUUGAAUCAAUUAGGCAGAAACGUAUGGUUAGGUUGCAUAAAAGAUUUGUUAAAGCUCGACCAUGAGAAGAGAUAGUUACACCAAUAAUAAAGAAAGUAUUGAAUAAAAUCAUUACUGCCAAUAGGUUUCUUAAGUUGCUCCCUGGUAGAAAUGAAGAGUAUGAGGUUCAUGAGGGUCCAUGUAGGUUUGCUAUAAGUUUAGCUAAAAGGACAUGCAGUUGUGAAUGAUGGGAUAUAAGUGGUUUACCAUGCAAGCAUUCUGCCAGAGCAAUUGCAUAUGUUAGGGGUAAUAUUGAAGAGUUUUGCCAUGAAUAUUACACUGUGCAGUGCUAUUCAAGAGUUUAUGCAGGUGCCAUAAAUCCUAUUCUUCAAACUGAGCUUGAAUCUGAUAAUGAACACCCAUCAAUGUUGCCACCUCCUUUGAGGAGGCGACCAGGAAGGCCAAGAAAGGCUAGAAAGAGAGAUGAGAGUGAACCACCAGCAAGAGGAAGGAAGACAUCAAUUGUCACUUGUGUUAGGCGCUUACGAACAGGCCACAAUAAGAGAACUUGCCAAUAUAUUGCUGUUGGGGUGACUAUACAUUUGUUUGCUUGCAUAUAAUGAAUCUAUUUUAACCUUUUUAACCUUUUUAUGUAUUUUUCUAAUUGCAGGCAUGGCUGCAAGUCAAAAGAAGAGGAAACACACUACUGCAUUAGGUACAGGGACUUCAAGAGUGGUUAAUACUAAUCAAGUGGGAUCAAGUGGUGGACCAAUAACCUAAAGGAGCCUUUGAAAUAUAAAAUUAUCUUUUUGAGAAUUUUGUUAGUUGAUGGGAUAUGAUUUAUACAUUUUGGAAAAACAUGUUUUUUGGGACAUUGGAUUGUAAAUCUGAGAAUAUUGUAAAUCUGUGCACAGAUUCUUUUUUAGGGGAGUUUAUCAUAGAUAUUGGUAUAAUGUUACAGAUAUUGGCCUUACUUGACCAUUAAAAUGGCAGUAAUAGAUGUAUGACAUUGUAAUGAUCAAGUCUGAUUUUGUAAUACAUAUUUAAACAAAAAGGAUAUAUUAAUGAAGUUAUGCUUUUAAUUUCAUUUGCUCAGCUCCAAUUUUAUUCAUUGUGCAUUUAUAAGAUUUGUUUGUACUUGAUAUUAAGUUACAGUUGGAUAAAUGUAACAGUAUCACUCUUCUAUUACUUUUAAUUUUACAACUUUUUAGUUCAUCUAUUUAAAUAUUCAAAAUUUCUCAGUCCUUUAAGUUUUAAAAUUUACAAUUUUUUAGUCCUUAUAUAUUAAAUUUAGAAACUAUUACGUCCUCCAGUUUUGAAUCAUUACAACUGUUUGGUCCUUCAUUUUAACCAUUCACUUACAAGAAACUAAUAUGCUAAAAUUCCAAUCAUCCAACUUAGAAAAACAAUACAAAAUUCAUUUAUACAUAAAGAACAUACUACAAUCUGGUUGAAAAUAACUUCUAACUUCUGCAACUUUAUAUAUUGCAUCUAAACAACUUUUUAAAGUGUUUUUACAGCAAACACUAUCAAGAGUAACAACAUAAUUAUCAUACAAUUCUUCAUCUGGUUCAAAAUAGCUUCAAUUUUCUGCAGCUUUACAUAUAAUUUUUUUGUCUCUUCAUUAAUCUUCAUCAACUCUUCUUUAGUCUCUGCAAUCGUCCUUGAUAAGUUGGCUUUGAAUAUCUCUAACCCUUCACCUAUACUGUUUGAUGUUGGAGAGUUCACAUUUAUUGGAAUGCACCACCCAAGAAAUGACACACAUUUGUUAUCUCGACAGUAAUAAUACAACUUAUUUGGAUUACUAAUAGAUUCAGAUAUGCGAACCCCCGCUCUUUUUCCACAACAACAAUUCACAUUCAUGUAACCACCAUCCCAGCUUCCCAUCAAUUCGUUGAUGCCAGAUAUUCUUGUGAAGAUAGAAUGAAUCCUUUAGGUGCUUGAUCGUCGGCUAUUAGGAACGGAGGUAGAAUCCUUUCAGUGCUUGGUCGAUGUUGAAGGUAGUCCCUCACAGAGAGUGUGCUGAAGCUCGUCGAGGGUGAGAGAGUAAAUGGAGGAUUGCCUACCGAGAGAUGACGAGAGGUUGCUUUUAAGGUUGUGAUCGGACUGUUAUGGCAAAUCUAACCAUACAUUUCUACCUAAUAGGGAUUGAAAAGGGUAAAAUUGGAUUUUUAAAAUAUUCUCUCUCAUUUUCAUCUUAUUUUUAAUGGAAAAUAUGGUAACAGUGGAUGAAAGGACUGAUUUGUUAAUGGUUUGAUUAUGUAAGGACGUUUUAGUAGGUUUCUGAAAAUAUAGGGACUAACUUAUUAAUAAUGGUAAUAUCCAAAGACUAAAUUGUAAAUCUUUCUAAAUUCUAUUAAGUAAAAAAUAUUAAUUUUAAAUAAUUUAGAUCAACAUUAGUUCGAUGGGCUAUAAUUAAAAUAAUAUUUUAAAAUUUAAACACUAAAAAGUGUUAAAAAGAUUUUUUUUAUAAAAAUUAAAUUAUUUUUAAAGAAAAAUAAUUUAUUUUUUCAAAAGAUAAUUUAUUUUUAGAUUUUGAGAAUUUUUUAACACUAUUAUAUAUAAUUUUAUAAGUAUUUUUAUUUUUUAAAUGAUAAUUACAGAAUACAUAAUAAAUUCGACGUGAGUUUUUCUCUGUGAUCUUUUUGUAACUCGAUAUUCUCGCAUUUUCCUCUUCUUAAACCUAACUUCUUUCUCAUUUCCCAUAAAAGACAAUAUGUGUUGAUUGACUAUCACUGAAGAAGAAAAUAUUAUUAUCUUAUGUAGGGAUUUAAACAGACAUUUGAAAAAUAUUUUUAUCAAAUUAUUUCAUACAGGGAUUUGAUUUUGAAUGAUUGUAAAUAUUUGUUAGAUUACUGCUCAUAUUUUGGCUAAAAAAUCUAUUAGAUAUAAUAAUUUUUUUAUUUAGGAUGAUAUCUCUAUUUAUUUGAUGAAAUCUCGUUAAUACAAUUAGUAAUUUUAUUUUUAAAAAAAAAAACACAUAAUAAAUUAUUUUUUAAAAAAAUUAUUAAAAAUAAUUUUCAUAUUUAAAUUAUUUUCUGUGGUGUAAAUAAAUCUAUUUGAACCGAAUAAAAGUUAAUUAAAAUUUUAAAUGGCAGAUAUAAUGAUUGAUUGGACAGAUCAUUAAAGCAAUGGUAAAGGCAUUUUAUUAAAUUGGAAUUAAUUUAAAAAAAAUCUUUUUCGUAAGCAUAUGAAUAGAUUAAUUUACAUAUUUUAAAUGUUGGAUCAGUUUUUUUUAACGGCAAAAAAUUCGUAUUUUCAAAAUUAAUAAAGUAGCAAAAUUAUAAAAAAAAUUAUAAAUUAUAUAAAUUUUAAAAAAAUAAAUUCAAACGACACAAUUUAAUUAUAAUAUUUAUUUAAAUUCAUAAUAUUUCAAACAUAAUAAUAUUGCUAACAAAUAAAUUUCUUGAUUUUUCAAUCCCUCCACAAGUCAUAAUAUUUUUUAAAAAAACAAUCAUAAAUUUUUUUCCCUUUUAAUAAUUUUAUCCUAAUUUUUUUUCAUAAUAAAUUUAUUAUAAAUUAUGCUCACAUACUUAAUUUAAAAGUUAAUGCUAACUAGAAUUUAAUUUAAGUCUAAGAUUUCUUUAGAUGUGAAAAUAAUUUAUAUUUAACAUUAUUUUAAUAAAAUAACUCAUUUUUAAUUUUUUAAUUUUUUAAUUUAAAAAUAAAAUAUUUUAAUAAAUUUAUAUAUAUAUUAAAAAAGUCUUUUUUUUCCUGAAAUAAUUUUUUUUAUAAAAAAUAUUUUUUAUUAAUUAAUUUUUAAAAAAUAUUUUAAAUAUAAAAAUAAUUUUAAUAAAACAAUCGAAACCUAAAUAAUGAAUAAGGGUUGAUGUGACACUAGAGCGAUGUUUAAGAAAAGUAAUUAACAGUAUAGCAUACAAUUAAUUCAAUUAAACUAAAUUUGUUAAUGGAAAAUUAGAAAACAUUAUUAAAAAAUACACAAAAAUACUAAUUCAGCGUCGAUCAUAUCUCAUCCCUUGAAGGUAUCAUGAGUAGGAGUUUUUCAUGCAAAAAGCAAAGCAAAACUGUCUUGGUUUGCAAUUAUUGGCUUGUAUUGCUUUGUCAAUUGCCAUGCAUUUGAGAAUUUUUACAAAGCAACCGCUGUAUAGUUAACCCCAAUUUAUUGCUUCUUCUGUGCCAAUGGUCAAUAUAAAGACGAAGUUCCUGAUGAUUCAUCCUGCGAAUGCGAAGGUUCUCGGUCUUGUUUUUCAAUCUUUGAAGAGAAGGUUCAUCUUCCUUAUCUUCUUCAAUUCUGCUUCUCUUUUUAUCUCUGGAAAGACGAUCCUCUCGAAAUAUAGGAUGCACUCCACACAUUAUUAUAGAAUCGUAAUCACGAUCCACAUGAUAUUUUGGCUCGUACGAGUGCCUGGAAACGCAGAAUUGAAAGGAAGCUUCAAGGAAACUCUCUUCCAUGUCCAACAGUUUAUUCCAAAGGAACACAUGUUCUGAAUAUAAGGGAUCAAGUACAAAAUUCAGGGCCUCGAAAAUGAAAUUUUCACUGCUAUGUCCAGAUUUUCCGACGAAGUUAGCUAUGCAGCUAAUGUCUAUAAUAUGAUCAUGAGAAAAAACUUUUGGAUCAAAAACAGCACAUAAAGAAAAACCAGUCAAAUUUGCCUGAUCUAGUCUGAAUGAAAGAGAAGAUCCACUUUUGUUCUUAUAUCUCAUCGUUUCAGGCACUUCAACCCCCGGUAUGCAUAACUCAACAAUCUGUACCAUGGAAAUUAUAAAUUUUUUAAGAAAACUAAUAAUAAUAAACAAAAAUUGUACACUCAAAAGGGUUGAUUCUUGUAAGACCAGAGAAAGUAAGGCAUACCUUGUGUUUUAACAGAUGCGUAUUCAAUACAUCCUCCAUUACUUUAUCAUGCACGUUCUUAUCCAAAUUGAUGCAAUUAUGAAACUUAAGUCGUUUUGCUUCUUUUUCAUCAUCAUGUUCUAAGAAAAGGAAUGAAGUUGAUGCAGAUUCCAAAGAUGUGCAAUCUGAUGCAUCUAAAUCUUCUAAGCAUGACGGAAGCUCUGGUAAACAUUUAAGUCUCUUGCAACCUUUUAAUAAAAGCCCCCUCAACUCAGUUAGAUGUUUAAUGCUUGCAGGUGUCGCCUUGAAAUUGUUUCCACCUAAAAAUAAGUCUUCCAAUGACGUUAAAAACCAAACACUCCCACAGUCACUUAAAUCAAUUUCCCUCACACAGGACAGUCCUGUCAAAGGAGGCAAUGUCAAACCUUCACAUCUCGCACAUCUUAACUCUUCCAAUCUUCUCAAUUGAUUGAUGGAGGAUGGUAAUGUUUUUAUUCCACUUCCAGAUAUAUAAAGUUUCUUCAGCAAUUCUAGAUCCCCCAUGUUCUCUGGCAAUGCUUUGACAUUCAAACAGCCUGAGAUAUAAAGGUGUGUAAGAGAUUUCAAAUUGCAGAUGCUUUGUGGAAUACUAUGCAGUUUUGAGCAGUAUUCGAGAUCAAUUUCUUUUAGACAUUUAGACUCGCCAACGCUGCUAGGAAUCUCAAUCAAGUUGCUACAUCCUCUCAAACAUAAAACCUCAAGAUUCGGGGCACUUGACAAGUCUGGAACUUUAGUUAACUCAAAAGAGUAGCUGAGGUCUAAAAAUUUCAAACUUUCAAGAGCCUGUAAUCAAAACGUCAAUAAAAUUAGCAGAAGCUAAUUAACUUUGCACAAUGUAGCUAAAUUUUAUAAAGCAGCAUAAUAACUCUAACCUUCUCUUGAUUCCAGAGUUGGAUGAGGUUGCUGUCUGGCAUGCGAAGUUCUACAAGAUUUCUCGGGCAAAAAUUUAUUGGCAAGGAUUUCAAAGGGUAGUCUUCCCAAUGAUAAUAUCUUAGCUCCUCUGGUAGAAAUUCAAGGCCACUAGGUAGAAGCACUCGUCCUGGUCCGGAUGUAGAAACAUUGAAGAAUUUGAGGAAUCUAAGAUUGCACAUGUUCAUGAAAGCUGUGGGACUUAGCUCCAAAUAUCCAUUUCCAGACAUAUCAAGUAAUAUGCCUUCAAUAUUUUCAGUUCCCUAAGAAAAUAACAACAAACAUUAUAGGCACUGAACUUAAUUCUUAAAACUGCAUAUAAAUAAUAUGUAUGUAUAAUUAAGAAUAUGCACAUUAAUUCUUUUGGUC